rnacentral:lncRNA from 1 species
CAUCAUUUUACGACACGUGCUCGCUACAAGCUUGCGAAGAAGUUGUGAUGCGAACUCCUGGCAAGUCUAGGACUAUAUUUUACCAAAAAUUCUAAACUACUCUAUUCACAAAUAUUUAUUAUAAAAUAAAAAGUUUAAAAAAUAACAUACACUGUUCACAUGGUAUUCGUGAUGCCUUCUGAUGUAAAAUCUGAAAACGUUUUGAAAGCUACAGUACAACACAUCUAUCUACUCAAAAUAUUACAUUAUCAGUAUCAAUACUACAGAGCACAGGUACAUGUCUAUAGUACUAAGUCUAAUACGAAUCGUUGUACUAAAAUAUAAUGAAAAACUAAGUAUAUACAAGAAAUUACGUGGAAAUGCUUGGGCGUUACACCUUGAGUCAGAAUAUGGAGAAAAAUGUCUGAAGUUACACGUGAAUUAUGCAAACGUGUUUAUAUACAACAGUCAAAAUGUAUAUUUCAUAUAAAGUGCAUGUAUUUUAUAUUCGUUUCGAAGAUGACCAAAAGGAGAUGUUAUUUAAUCUUGGCUUUUGUAUCGGUUCAUGGGCAAUAUAACUCGAUGCAAGGUUCGGAAACUCGAUAAAGGCAUAAUAGACGUCAUUACCUAUGUUGUGUCUUGGUUUUUGCACGAAAUGUACUGUUUUUUCGUCCAACCAACAAUAGCAGUGUGCAGGGCCGCCGAGAGGGAGGGCAGGGGGAUUACCCCGGGCCCCAGGUUCUGAGGGGCCCUAGAAUAUUUUGUUGGGCCCCAUUCAUUUUUUUGGGUGAAAUAGUAUUUCCGCGCAAACGGGGCAAGAUCUUUGGGGUUUUUUUGGGCAAAGUACCGAAAUUUGGUAUGAAAAAUUGAGGUAAAGUCGCUGGAAAUCAAUUACAACGUAUUCGUCCGAAAAAAUUGAGGUUGUUGUCCGAAAAACUUU